ensembl:lncRNA
CCGGAGCCCAGCGCUGGCGGGGCAAAGGCGGUGUUCAGGGUCCCAAGCAACGCCACGCGAGCAUAUGCUGGCUUUGGCACUGCAAGGUUACUCGCAGGGUCCUGGAAUGUUUCCUUGUACUCUUCUUUUGGGGUAUAGAGAAUGCCUUAAAAAGCAGCGUCCCAAAUUUAAACACAUCGAACAGGAACUUCCGGAAUACUUUGCAACUUACCAGUUUGUAUGCUGCUAUACUAUAGAGUGCAAAUGGCCAAUAUGUACCCAUCUAACAAAGCGAACAGUUACCGCUCACUGCGAAAGAUGAAGAGGAAGGGUCCAGACAAAGCCAAGGCAACUAUCCAUUGGUCAACUGGAAAAGAACGAAGCACAAAGGCCAAAUGUUCAGUCAUGUCUUAGUGUUUCCAAUUCUUACACAUUUGGCAAAUGCACGUGAAAUGCUGCACAUUACACACACCUGCCAUCAAGUCGGUGAAUAUACCUGUCUCAUGUUCAGUGGAAAAAAAGCACUAGCUUUACAGUUGAAAAACAUGGUAGAAAAUCAGAAUAUUUAAGAUAAG